rnacentral:rRNA from 1 species
AUUGAACGCUGGCGGCAGGCCUAACACAUGCAAGUCGAGCGGUUGAAGGGCGCCUGCUCCUGGCUUCAGCCGCACACGGGUGAGUAACGCCUAGGAAUCUGCCUGGUAGUGGGGGAUAGCGUCCGGAAACGGGCGCUAAUACCGCACAAGUCCUGAGGGAGAAAGUGGGGUAUCUUCACACCACACGCCAUCAGCUGCGCCUAGGGCAGAGUAGCUAGUUGGUGGGGUAAACGCCUACCAAGGCGACGAUCCAUAACUGGUCUGAGAGGAUGAUCAGUCACACUGGAACUGAGACACGGUCCAGACUCCUACGGGAGGAAGCAGUGGGGAAUAUUGGACAAUGGGCGAAAGCCUGAUCCAGCCAUGCCGCGUGUGUGAAGAAGGACUUCGGAUUGUAAAGCACUUUAUUUAGGGAGGAAGAGCAGUAAUUUAAUAGAGGGCUGUUUUGACGUUACCAACAGAAUAAGCACCGGCUAACUUCGUG